rnacentral:SRP_RNA from 1 species
GCCGAGCGCAGUGGUGCGUGCCAGCUACUCUCGGGAGGCUGAGGCUGGAGGAUCACUUGAGCCAGGAGUUCUGGGCUGUAGUGCGCUAUGCCAAUCAGGUGUCCGCACUAAGUUCGACAUCAAUAUGAUGACCUGCCGGGAGCAGGGGACCACUAGGUUGCCUAAGGAGGGAUAAACCAGCCCAGGUCAGAAACGGAACAGGUCAAAACUCCCGUGCUGAUCAGUAGUGGGAUCUCACCUAUGAAUAGCCACUGCACUCCAGCCUGGGCAACAUAGCGAGACCCCGUCUCU